rnacentral:rRNA from 1 species
UACGUAGGGUCCGAGCGUUGUCCGGAUUUAUUGGGCGUAAAGAGCUCGUAGGCGGUUCCGUAAGUCAGAUGUGAAAACUCAGGGCUCAACCCGGAGACGCCAUCUGAUACUGCGGUGACUGGAGUCUGGUAGGGGAACACGGAAUUCCUGGUGUAGCGGUGAAAUGCGCAGAUAUCAGGAGGAACACCUAUUGCGAAGGCAGCUCGCUGGGACGUAACUGACGCUGAGACGCGAAAGCGUGGGGAGCAAACAGG